rnacentral:rRNA from 1 species
AGAGUUUGAUCCUGGCUCAGGAUGAACGCUAGCUACAGGCUUAACACAUGCAAGUCGAGGGGCAGCAUGACGAUAGCUUGCUAUUGUCGAUGGCGACCGGCGCACGGGUGAGUAACGCGUAUCCAACCUUCCCGUUGCUAGGGGAUAACCUUGCGAAAGUAAGACUAAUACCCUAUGAUGUUCUUCGCAGACAUCUAAAGAGAACCAAAGAUUUAUCGGCAACGGAUGGGGAUGCGUCUGAUUAGGUUGUUGGCGGGGUAACGGCCCACCAAGCCCACGAUCAGUAGGGGUUCUGAGAGGAAGGUCCCCCACAUUGGAACUGAGACACGGUCCAAACUCCUACGGGAGGCAGCAGUGAGGAAUAUUGGUCAAUGGACGAGAGUCUGAACCAGCCAAGUAGCGUGAAGGAUGACUGCCCUAUGGGUUGUAAACUUCUUUUAUAUGGGAAUAAAGUUUUCCACGUGUGGAAUUUUGUAUGUACCAUAUGAAUAAGGAUCGGCUAACUCCGUGCCAGCAGCCGCGGUAAUACGGAGGAUCCGAGCGUUAUCCGGAUUUAUUGGGUUUAAAGGGAGCGUAGAUGGGUUGUUAAGUCAGUUGUGAAAGUUUGCGGCUCAACCGUAAAAUUGCAAUUGAUACUGGCAGUCUUGAGUACAGUUGAGGUAGGCGGAAUUCGUGGUGUAGCGGUGAAAUGCUUAGAUAUCACGAAGAACUCCGAUUGCGAAGGCAGCUUACUGGAUUGUAACUGACGCUGAUGCUCGAAAGUGUGGGUAUCAAACAGGAUUAGAUACCCUGGUAGUCCACACAGUAAACGAUGAAUACUCGCUGUUUGCGAUAUACAGUAAGCGGCCAAGCGAAAGCGUUAAGUAUUCCACCUGGGGAGUACGCCGGCAACGGUGAAACUCAAAGGAAUUGACGGGGGCCCG